rnacentral:misc_RNA from 1 species
CUAAGGAAACAUAGAAUCAUCAUCUUCAGUUUUGAAAGACUUAGUUAGGUUUUUCUAAUUUGAAAAACUUAGUUAAGUUUUUCUCAUUUCUUUUAUUUUUUGGUAUCCUGGGCCUAUAGCUCAGUUGGUUAGAGCACACGCCUGAUAAGCGUGAGGUCGGUGGUUCAAGUCCAUUUAGGCCCACCAAACGUUUUGCUAAAAAAA